rnacentral:rRNA from 1 species
AUACGUAGGUGGCGAGCGUUGUCCGGAAUUAUUGGGCGUAAAGGAUGCGUAGGUGGAUAUUUAAGUGGGAUGUGAAAUCCCCGGGCUCAACCCGGGAACUGCAUUCCAUACUGGAUAUCUAGAGUGCAGGAGAGGAAAGCGGAAUUCCUAGUGUAGCGGUGAAAUGCGUAGAUAUUAGGAGGAACACCAGUGGCGAAGGCGGCUACCUGGUCUGUAACUGACGCUCAAGCACGAAAGCGUGGGGAGC